AGUGAACGCUGGCGGUAGGCCUAACACAUGCAAGUCGAACGGCAGCACAGGAGAGCUUGCUCUCUGGGUGGCGAGUGGCGGACGGGUGAGGAAUACAUCGGAAUCUACUCUGUCGUGGGGGAUAACGUAGGGAAACUUACGCUAAUACCGCAUACGACCUACGGGUGAAAGCAGGGGACCUUCGGGCCUUGCGCGAUUGAAUGAGCCGAUGUCGGAUUAGCUAGUUGGCGGGGUAAAGGCCCACCAAGGCGACGAUCCGUAGCUGGGCUGAGAGGAUGAUCAGCCACACUGGAACUGAGACACGGUCCAGACUCCUACGGGAGGCAGCAGGGGGGAAUAUUGGACAAUGGGCGCAAGCCUGAUCCAGCCAUACCGCGUGGGUGAAGAAGGCCUUCGGGUUGUAAAGCCCUUUUGUUGGGAAAGAAAUCCAGCUGGCUAAUACCCGGUUGGGAUGACGGUACCCAAAGAAUAAGCACCGGCUAACUUCGUGCCAGCAGCCGCCGUAA
rnacentral:rRNA from 1 species